AGCCAGCAGUAAUCUUGUGUGGGCUGCAGGCCCUGGGACUGACUGGACUGUGGGUGCAGCCUCGUGGGGCUUUGCUGGGAAGAGACAUUGACAGGGAAGAUGAGGGGGAGGCACUUAGCACUUGUUGUACCCUCUUGUAUCAUGCCCUGGAGACAAGUGGUCCUUGAUGAAUCAGAGCAGUUCUCCUUGCCUGCCUUAGCCUCUCAGUUGAAAGCUGCUGAGCAUAAAAAGCGGUGCUUGGUACUUGUAGGACAGCGAGCACCAGACCAUCAUCUGAGGAAGCUCCAGAAUAACCCCAGAUGAAACACCAAAACGUGGCAAAAAACAGAUGGGAAUGCCAGAGUUCAUGUCACCUCGUUCUUCAAGAAUAUUGCACAGACUGUGCCAGCAACAAAUGCUUGGAUUCAGUCUAGAUAUUGAAGUUCACUAAAACAAUAAAUUGAUGAAAAUCCAGUGGAGGAAAGUGAUCUUGACAGCAGAGAAUGAAGAACCAAAGAAGACAGAGUCUGACUGAUGCAAAGGGAUGCACCUGAGGGGUUAAGGUCAUGUAGUCUGUGAGAAUACUUUGUUUUGAGUCUUUGGAGAGCUGGGUCGGGACAGUGAGUAAUGUAGGAGACUUUCACCUCCUGCAGGUCACCUCUGCAAAUGCAAGGCUAGGAAGAAAUACUAAGUUAAGACUCCACUGAAAUACAAAUAAAUGUUAUCUCUGCAACUCUACAAAGAGAAGCAUGAGGACAAGUUAGGCAGAGAACUGGUUUGAAUGACAGCCUUGGUGAUUGGGGAGGUUCUUUGUUUAUAUCAGGGGCACUUAAUUCUCUACACAAUCUCUGCAAUUAAGCAGGCCUGCAUCAAAUGUGAAUCAAUCAGUUUUUUUCCCACUAGGAAUGACUGAAACAGUCUAGUCAAACCUCCCAUUUCAUGCUGUAUCACUCUGUAAAAUCAACUGGGGUCUCUGGAACAUGUCAAGACCCAGAGUCAGAUCUUUCUUGAUGGAGCGCAGUAGCUCAAGGUCUCAUUUUGAGAGGGAAACAUGACCUCAGGUCUUGUAUAGGCUUAAAAAAAGAGGAAUUUUAAUUUACUUUUCCUGCCCUUGGAAAGUGUACUAGCCUCCAGGUGACAAAUUAGUCAACAAACCUGUGGUAGGUUCACAGCUACCAAAAGGGAAAGCCCUCCUUUUGCUGCUGCACCCUCUGCCUGCUGGACCACGCAGGGAGUCAUUUUAGACUACUGAAAUCAGAAAAAAACUAUCUCAAAAGAAAGGGAAAAAAAAAAAAGGCAGACAUAGAAGAUGGCUGUCAUUCUAGUGAGCUGAACCGGCUUGAGGGACACUAAGCAGCCCCAGAACAGGUGCAGAGAGGGAACAAGAAUACUCCUCUUUAUGGCUCUGCAACUAAACCAGUACACCAGCUUCUGAAAUGGAACCAGGAGAACCUUUCCCCGAUUCUGGGAUCGCUGUGCAACUGGAGGUGUGCUGGGCCUGAAGGAACAUGCAGGAGAGUAGAGCAAAAAUCUAAACCCAGUUUUAGACUGAGAGCCUAAAACAUACUUUUUUAGAGUAUGUGUGUGGUAAGUCCUGGUCUCCUGUUACUGCCUGUGUGUCUUGUAUUUCAUAAUCUGCAAAUAACUGCCUAGGAGCUGAGUAUGUUACCUGGAAGACUUCUGACUGCUACAUGAGUGACAGAAGGCAAAGCCAACCAUCUUCCUCAGCUAAAGUAAAUCUUCCAUUUCACUCUGGCUUUCAACCUCAGCCCCAUCAUCCUCCUUUUCUAUUUUUGCCCAUUCUCCUUCCAUCCCAGUUGGCUCCUUCUUUUAUUCCAGUUCAGCUUUUAUCUCUACUGCAAGGGAAUGCAUCAGGCAACACCAAUAAAAGCAACCACUGUAGGUCCCUUCCAACUCAGAAUAUUCACUGAUUCUGUGAAUUCACACUGUAGCUGGUAGUUUAUUCUAGUAAUGGCAAUGAGGAGUUGUGAUUGAUUCUGCAGAAGUGACAGAUAGGUAUCUGGACAAGGUAAGAGAAUAAAGCCUAUGAAGUCAAACUGAAUAUAGUUUUUGAG